rnacentral:tRNA from 8 species
UGGUGUAUGGCCAAGUGGUAAGGCAGCGAGCUGUUAACUCGCAGAGCGCAGGUUCGAUCCCUGCUACACCAGC